UCCGUAGGUGAACCUGCGGAAGGAUCAUUAAUGAUUGAACGUCUGUCGAGCUUGCUCACAGGCACAUCAUAUCCAUAACACCUGUGCACUUGUCGGAUGGCUUAGUGAAGACCGCAAGGUUGGAUCUAUCCAUCUACUUUACAUAACAAUUCUGUAACAAAUGUAGUCUUAUUAUAACAUAAUAAAACUUUCAACAACGGAUCUCUUGGCUCUCGCAUCGAUGAAGAACGCAGCGAAAUGCGAUAAGUAAUGUGAAUUGCAGAAUUCAGUGAAUCAUCGAAUCUUUGAACGCACCUUGCGCUCCUUGGUAUUCCGAGGAGCAUGCCUGUUUGAGUGUCAUGAAAACCCUCAACCCUAGAUUGGUUAAAACCUUUCUUUGGUUUGGAUUUGGACGUUUGCCGAUGAUAAGUCGGCUCGUCUUAAAAAGUAAUAGCUGGAUCUGUCUCGCGACAUGGUUUGACUUGGCGUAAUAAGUAUUUCGCUAAGGACAUCUUCGGAUGGCCGCGUUGCAGGACUAAAGACCGCUUUCUAAUCCAUUGAUCUUACGAUUAAUAUUCUUGGACAUCCUGGGGGCCCUCAAAUCAGGGUAGGGACUACCCGGCUGGAACUUAAGGCAUAUCAAUAAGGCGGGGAGGGGAAGGGUCGAC
rnacentral:rRNA from 1 species